rnacentral:rRNA from 1 species
CAGCAGCCGCGGGAAUACGAAGGGGGCAAGCGUUGUUCGGAAUUACUGGGCGUAAAGGGCGCGUAGGCGGCUUAUCAAGUCAGGCGUGAAAUUCCCGGGCUCAACCUGGGGGCUGCGUUUGAUACUGAUGAGCUUGAAUGCGGGAGAGGAUAGUGGAAUUCCCAGUGUAGAGGUGAAAUUCGUAGAUAUUGGGAAGAACACCGGUGGCGAAGGCGGCUAUCUGGCCCGUGAUUGACGCUGAGGCGCGAAAGCGUGGGGAGCAAACAGGAUUAGAUACCCCUGUAGUCCCUGUCUCUUAUAC